rnacentral:rRNA from 1 species
GCUUAACGCGAAGAACCUUACCAGGUCUUGACAUCCCGGUGACCACUAUGGAGACAUAGUUUCCCCUUCGGGGCAACGGUGACAGGUGGUGCAUGGUUGUCGUCAGCUCGUGUCGUGAGAUGUUGGGUUAAGUCCCGCAACGAGCGCAACCCUUAUUCUUAGUCGCCAUCAUUCAGUUGGGCACUCUAAGGAGACUGCCGGUGAUAAACCGGAGGAAGGUGGGGAUGACGUCAAAUCAUCAUGCCCCUUAUGACCUGGGCUACACACGUGCUACAAUGGACGGUACAAACGGUUGCCAACCCGCGAGGGGGAGCUAAUCCGAUAAAACCGUUCUCAGUUCGGAUUGUAGGCUGCAACUCGCCUACAUGAAGCCGGAAUCGCUAGUAAUCGCGGAUCAGCAUGCCGCGGUGAAUACGUU